rnacentral:rRNA from 1 species
AGUGGCGGACGGGUGAGUAAUGCAUGGACAACCUACCUCUGAGAGGGGGAUAACGUCUCGAAAGGGACGCUAAUACCGCAUGACGUUCUCUGCCAUAAGGCGGAGAACCAAAGAUAGCCUCUGCAUGCAAGCUGUUGCUCAGAGAGGGGUUCAUGUCCUACUAGCUUGUUGGUGAGGUAACGGCUCACCAAGGCAGCGAUGGGUAGCCGGCCUGAGAGGGUGAUCGGCCACACUGGGACUGAGACACUGCCCAGACUUCUACGGGAGGCUGCAGUCGAGAAUCUUCCGCAAUGCGCGCAAGCGUGACGGAGCGACGCCGCGUGGGUGAUGAAGGCCUUCGGGUUGUAAAGCCCUGUUGUCCGAUAUGAACGCCGGCAGGUGAAUAGCCUUGUCGGGUGACGUUAACGGAUGAGGAAGCACCGGCUAAAUACGUGCCAGCAGCCGCGGUAAUACGUAUGGUGCAAACGUUGUUCGGAAUCACUGGGCAUAAAGAGCACGUAGGCGGUCUGGUAAGUCUGACUGUGAAAUCCCUCGGCCUAACCGAGGAACUGCAUCGGAUACUGCCGGACUCGAGUACAGUAGGGGAGAGUGGAAUUCCUGGUGGAGCGGUGAAUGCGUANAUAUCAGGAGAA